rnacentral:tRNA from 1 species
GGAGAUAGCUGAGUGGCAUAGUGGCUGCCUGGCAAGCAUGAGGUCCUGAGUUCGGUUCCCAGUACCUCCC